AUUGAACGCUGGCGGAGUGCUUUACACAUGCAAGUCGAACGGCAGCACGGACUUCGGUCUGGUGGCGAGUGGCGAACGGGUGAGUAAUGUAUCGGAACGUGCCCAGUCGUGGGGGAUAACGUAGUGAAAAUUACGCUAAUACCGCAUACGAUCUAUGGAUGAAAGCGGGGGAUCGCAAGACCUCGCGCGAUUGGAGCGGCCGAUAUCAGAUUAGGUAGUUGGUGGGGUAAAGGCCCACCAAGCCAACGAUCUGUAGCUGGUCUGAGAGGACGACCAGCCACACUGGAACCGAGACACGGUCCAGACUCCUACGGGAGGCAGCAGUGGGGAAUUUUGGACAAUGGGCGAAAGCCUAAUCCAGCCAUUCCGCGUGCAGGAUGAAGGCCCUCGGGUUGUAAACUGCUUUUGUACAGAACGAAAAGGUUUCUACUAAUACUAGGAGCUCAUGACGGUACUGAAAGAAUAAGCACCGGCUAACUACGUGCCAGCAGCCGCCGUAA
rnacentral:rRNA from 1 species